UAGCGUGACGCUUAUCGUCACUUAAUUCAGAAUCACAAUAAAACAUUUAAAAUAGAUUUAUCGUAAAUUGCAAAAUAAUUGAUUAGAUUUAAAAUACUGUGGAAACUUCCAUUAGUACAUAGAACUUAAGCAAAUACAAAUAAACACUCUUGAUUAAAGUUAAGAAAUACGUGUCGAAAAGGGUUAAUCACAAGUCUAUAGUCCAAGUUUGAUCUCUUAUGUGACCUUUCCAGAAUUUAGCAAUAGUUUUAUCGAGCAAAAAGUUUAGUAUAAAAGAUCAAAAAAAAGACAACAAAAGGGCUGUAGUAGAAAGAGUAGAACCGAGUCAUUAGAGGUCCACCAAUUUCCACUAUAAACAUCAGUACGGGUCACAACUUUUUAAUCAUAUAGAUGUCCCGCAGUGGACUGAUCGUAAAGACAUGGUUCCCAGUAGAGCACCGAAGUCAAGCAUCACUAGCUGGGGCCAGUAAAUUAGAUGCCUGCUUCUUGAUCUGGACGAGGAUAAGCAGUUGGAAGUGAAAUGAUUCGAGCAUCUAUUACAGAAAUAUUCAGAUUCAAAAGAACCACUUUUCUGAAUAAGAAGCUAUGUAUUGAUAUUUUAAUCUUUCUCAACCCAAUAAAUGCCAACACUCUAAUAAGAUCUUGCUCAAUUUUUUUCACAUAGAUAUGCCAACUUCUGGAGCCCCCUGAUCCAUGAGAAUGAAAGAGUUAAGAAG